rnacentral:rRNA from 1 species
UACGGAGGGGGCUAGCGUUGUUCGGAAUUACUGGGCGUAAAGCGCGCGUAGGCGGCUUUGUAAGUUAGAGGUGAAAGCCCGAAGCUCAACUCCGGAAUUGCCUUUAAGACUGCAUCGCUAGAAUUGUGGAGAGGUAAGUGGAAUUCCGAGUGUAGAGGUGAAAUUCGUAGAUAUUCGGAAGAACACCAGUGGCGAAGGCGACUUACUGGACACAUAUUGACGCUGAGGUGCGAAAGCGUGGGGAGCAAACAGGAUUAGAAACCCGGGUAGUCC